GCUGAGCACAGUGACAUGCACCUGGAGUCGCAGCUACUCAGGAGGCUGAGGCGAGAGGAUCAUUUGAGCCCAGGAGUUCUGGGCUGUAGUGUGCUAUGCUGGUCAGGUGUCUGCACUAAGUUCAACAACGAUAUGGUGACCUCCCAGGAGUAGGGGACCACUAGGUUGCCUAAGGAGAGGUGAACCAGCCCAGGUCAGAAGCAAAGCAGGUCAGAACUCCCAUGAUGAUUGUGCCUGUGAGUAGCCACUGCACUCUAGCCUGGUUGACAUAGGGAGACCCUGCCUCU
rnacentral:SRP_RNA from 1 species